GCUAAUUGCCGUCCUUGAUGGAUUCCAAAGAGUUUUUUCUCCUGUCAGGUAGUAGAUGAGCAAAGUUUGUACGACAGCCCUGCGAGGCAAACAUUCUGAUUUUGGAUCAUAUAGAACUGAGUUAAACAUAAUGGUUCAGAUGUGAUGAUCUAAGAUGUGUUAAGUUUACUCGCUAUUAGAUGAUGAGAUUAUGGAUGCUUUAUUAUGUUUGUGAGGAAGCUUUAGGCCAAAGGUCUGAUCCAUGAAUGUACUGUAGUAUGAAGUGAACAGGGAUCGAUCAGGUCACUGAGGGAUCUCAGAUUCAACCAUCAGAGGGAGUCACGGGGCGGCUUGAAUGUGCAGCCAAUCACAUACGACAGCAGAUUGGGCUGAGCUGGAGAAGGAGCAGGCAGAAGCCUCCUGUGAACCAUUACUGAUGGUCAUAUGGACGAGGGGACUUCUCUAUUUCAGUUUUAAAGUAACGGUUUUAAAUAAGAUUUAGUUACAGAUAAUAGAAUACAAGAGGUUCUACUAAGUGGGGCAGUUGUGGUUGUGCCAAACAAAAUGGAAAUUAAGAUAACAGAAAUAGAAAGAAUUAGAACGAAACAAAUUGGCUUCCCUUACUUCUCUAAGAACGUCCAUCAAAAUACAGAGGGAGCACCAACCACUAACCUGGAGUCCCUACGUGAUGCACACGUGUACAAGGUACAAACGUACCAACUGUCCUCAACCUCUCACCACAAACCUGCACUUCUUGUGCGUGCAUGACAACUAAAGGAACACCUGCUCCAGAUCUCCCUUUUAACAGCAGGGCCCUCAGGUGAUUGGCGGCUCUCUUCAGGAACUCAGGUGCAGGCAGAUCGGCACCUGAAGGGAAAAACAAGGGAGGAGGGGCAACACAGACAGUAGUGACACGGACGUUAGUGUAAGAGUGUUAUCGCCUCUCGUAAACAUGUUGAUUGUAUUUUGUAUUAUUACGCAGAAUCUGCUAAUUGAUUUGUGACUGAAGCUGUCACAUUGAGGUAUUACGUUGUUCAUUCUGUCCUCAUGACGUCAUCGUAGUCCGUCCAUCAGGAGACGGAUCCUCCUCUCACGCUCUCACUGAGGUUUCUUCCCUCAGGUUUUCCUGUGUAGAUGUGAUGUUUGGGGACAGAGGAUGUCGCAUGUGUACAGACUUUAAAGCCCUCUGAGGCACAUUUGUAAUUUGUGAUUUUGGGCUAUUCCAAAUGAAAUGAAUUGAAUUCUCCUGUGGUUUUGGAGCAGAUGUGUAACAGAUGUGUUGUGGGAGAAGAUUGAGAUGAUCAAGUAAACCUCAAAGUGGUGAUUACCACUGCUAGUAAACCUGUUACAAAGGAAGUGGCUUAACCUGAAUUAUAGUUAUUUUUGAGCAGUGUUUUAAAAUGACUACUUCACUCUUGAUUUAUUCCCUCAGUAAACAUUGUAAACAUGAGUUUAUGGUCUCAGUCUCUAGUUUCAAGUCUUCUUCAAUACAACAUGAUGUUCAUUUAGUAAAUUAUGGUCCAUUUAGAGCCAACUAAACACAUAUUUAUUCCGUUUAUACGCUCUGCAUUGUGGUAGAUUUCUCUAGUUCUUCCUUGUAGUUCUUCCGUGUCAGACCUCAGUGAACAUUUGUUCAUCUCAACUCGGGGGUUUACAGCCAGCUGCUCAUGCAUGGUAAUUAUCUAAAGGGGAAGCAGGACUUUUUCAUCAGCUGAUACAGACACACGUUGUCUUUCAGUCCCACGUCCCUCUCUUGGACAGCUGAUAGUGGAGGACGUGUUUUAACAGAGAGGGAUGAGCGGAGGAGCUGAGAGUGGAUCAGUCAUCUUCCUCCUGUCUGCAUUCAUAUUCAUCACAUUUAUAUCUGUAUCACAGAGCCUGAGUCGCCAUGAAGGCUUUUAUUAGGAACACGAAUGACCAAAAUACUUAGAAAGUUUCACUUCCCCCUUUGUCUCUUUCUCUGAACCGUCACACCCUAACGCUCACCACAAACACCACCAUUUUACUUUCUGCUAAUUACUAUUCAGUUUCCUUUUCUCUAUAGAAAAAGAUGUGCACCUGCACCCCUUCUGCUGUGAUGAGUGUGAUGGUGGUUUGUAGUUUCUCUUCCAGUCAUUCGGGGUCAGGAUGGCUGCAGAGUUACUUACGGUUCCUCUUGGAUCUGUGGAUUAAACGGAUCCACCUUGGAGAUGCACUGCAGCUACACCCCCCCCCAGAACCAAUGAGGGGUCACAGCAGACCAGAGGGCCUUCUGCUUUACUGACAGGCAGCACGGACACCCGGUGGACCUGAGAACGGACCCGGGACACGCAGAGGACAGUUAGCUUAGCAUACCGCUGCUCUCUGAGGAUCAGCGGCCUGAGAGGCGGCGACUCGGCUGUGUACAGGUGUGCUGUGUUCAUGUUCACCACAAACCAACCGGACAGGAAGUACACCGGCGAACCGGGGGUCCGUCUGUCCGUCACAGGUUUGCAGGUGGAGAUCAGCAGAUCAAUACCUUUGUCACGAAGCGGGUGCAGGCAGAGGCAGGACUCAAACACAGAGUUUUGGGAAACAACAAAAAGACUUUAAUGGUCAAAAUUCCAAAAUGCCAAGGCGG